rnacentral:rRNA from 1 species
AUUGAACGCUGGCGGCAUGCUUUACACAUGCAAGUCGAACGGUAACAGGGAGCUUGCUCCGCUGACGAGUGGCGAACGGGUGAGUAAUAUAUCGGAACGUACCCAGAAGUGGGGGAUAACGUAGCGAAAGUUACGCUAAUACCGCAUACGAUCCACGGAUGAAAGUAGGGGACCUUCGGGCCUUAUGCUUUUGGAGCGGCCGAUAUCUGAUUAGCUAGUUGGUGAGGUAAAGGCUCACCAAGGCGACGGUCAUUAGCUGGUCUGAGAGGACGACCAGCCACACUGGAACUGAGACACGGUCCAGACUCCUACGGGAGGCAGCAGUGGGGAAUUUUGGACGAUGGGCGCAAGCCUGAUCCAGCAAUGCCGCGUGAGUGAAGAAGGCCUUCGGGUUGUAAAGCUCUUUUGUCAGGGAAGAAACGGGAGUGGCUAAUAUCCAUUCUUAAUGACGGUACCUGAAGAAUAAGCACCGGCUAACUACGUGCCAGCAGCCGCCGUAA